rnacentral:rRNA from 1 species
CCCAAUUGAUUGAUGGUGCUUGCACCUGCUUGAUUUUGGUCGCCAACGAGUGGCGGACGGGUGAGUAACACGUAGGUAACCUGCCCAGAAGCGGGGGACAACAUUUGGAAACAGAUGCUAAUACCGCAUAGCAACGUUGUUCGCAUGAACAACGCUUAAAAGAUGGCUUCUCGCUAUCACUUCUGGAUGGACCUGCGGUGCAUUAGCUUGUUGGUGGGGUAACGGCCUACCAAGGCGAUGAUGCAUAGCCGAGUUGAGAGACUGAUCGGCCACAAUGGGACUGAGACACGGCCCAUACUCCUACGGGAGGCAGCAGUAGGGAAUCUUCCACAAUGGGCGCAAGCCUGAUGGAGCAACACCGCGUGAGUGAAGAAGGGUUUCGGCUCGUAAAGCUCUGUUGUUAAAGAAGAACACGUAUGAGAGUAACUGUUCAUACGUUGACGGUAUUUAACCAGAAAGUCACGGCUAACUACGUGCCAGCAGCCGCGGUAAUACGUAGGUGGCAAGCGUUAUCCGGAUUUAUUGGGCGUAAAGAGAGUGCAGGCGGUUUUCUAAGUCUGAUGUGAAAGCCUUCGGCUUAACCGGAGAAGUGCAUCGGAAACUGGAUAACUUGAGUGCAGAAGAGGGUAGUGGAACUCCAUGUGUAGCGGUGGAAUGCGUAGAUAUAUGGAAGAACACCAGUGGCGAAGGCGGCUACCUGGUCUGCAACUGACGCUGAGACUCGAAAGCAUGGGUAG